UUAUAGAUUAGAAAUUAUGGGUUAAUGAAAUAUUAAUUAGUAGGAAUAAAAGGAUUAUAAGAAUUGUAUAAAAUUAGUAAUGAUAAGGUACUCCAAUAUGCCAUAGUUACAAAUUUUAAAAAAAAAAGUAACAAUACAACAAUUUAAUCACUCUAAGAUAUAGGAUUUAAGUUGCUAAGAUAAAGAUAAUGUGAGAUGAUAAGUGUAAUCUCAUAGGUCUAAUAUAGCUACAGAUAAAUAGAGAUGGAUAUAGGUUACUAGAACAGUAGUUAAGUAUAAGAAAUAACUAUAAACAAACAUAGUAAGUGUAGUCAUAGCGACUCCAUCUUCUGGGUACCGGGUGAAACUUGAUACAUAGGCUGUUCUCAAGAUGUUAUUUUCAAAUUGUUUUUGUGUAAGACCCAUAUAAAUGAGAAUGUAAACCCCAUAAAUAAGGAUAUGGUUUUCUGUUUUUGCUUUGCUAACUGCACUUUCAGCCCCUGUAUUCUGCUUGCUUGCAAUUUGCAAAAUCUUACAAAAUUCCAUAGGAAAGUCCCCAGGGUGUGGUUUUCUUCCCUAUUUUCUUCCUUAAAUACUUUGGCCACAAACAACUCCGGGGCUGUUCUUUCAGAGAACCUCCACUCUGACAGACACAGUCCCUGUGUUACCGCUGUUUACUGGUGGAGUCAUGCUGAAGCACACCAAGGCAAGUGGAAAGUGGAAAGUAGAAGCUUUAUUAAAGGACAGCAGAAAAGACUUCCCCUGGAGGAAGAAGGGGACCCAAAAGGCGGAAUCUGUGGAAGGGGGAGGUCUUCCCUUUUUUAUAGCUAAGAUCUUCUUUUGGUAUUCCCACAUUUCUGCCCUUUGUUUCCCUUUAUCUUGCAGUGAUCCAAUGCAGGUGGGAAGGCCAAAAGAUGGGAGAUAGGUGGGCUGGAAGGGUAAUCUGGGCAGGAAGGGCCUGGGGUGGUUUUUGAUUAGCACCUCCCUGUUUGCUGGGAGCUGCUUCAUUAACAUUUCCUUAGGAUGGGCUCAGGGCCUUGGGGACAUUAACAUUUCAAUUUCCCCAAGUGCUGCUCUGGUUUCCGGGACUCCAUUCUCCAUUCUCCGUAAUGGUCUCCAUUUUCUUUUAUCUUAUUCAAUAUUAGACCCGAUUUACCUAACUACACUAACUACCUAUCUUUAAAUCUAGUUUCACCUGGCCAGGUAAAAUUGGCAAA
rnacentral:lncRNA from 1 species